GAUGAAGAACGUAGCGAAAUGCGAUAAGUAGUGUGAAUUGCAGAAUUCAGUGAAUCAUCGAAUCUUUGAACGCACAUUGCGCCCCUUGGUAUUCCAUGGGGCAUGCCUGUUCGAGCGUCAUUUGUACCUUCAAGCUCUGCUUGGUGUUGGGUGAUUGUCUAUCUUUGUAGACUCGCCUUAAAGUCAUUGGCAGCCGGCAUAUUGGCCUGGGAGCGCAGCACAAGUCGCGCUUCUUGUCAUGAAUGUUGGCGUCCAGUAAGUCUACAUAUUUUGCUCUUGACCUCGGAUCAGGUAGGGAUACCCGCUGAACUUAAGCAUAUCAAUAAGCGGAGG
rnacentral:misc_RNA from 1 species